GCUUCCAACUAUUAGGGCUUUGAUAGUAAAUAAUUGGAAAGUUUGACAUCAAACCUUAGUUUCUUCCACAAUUUUUUGACAAAAAUUUCCCACAACUUGUAUAUAGUUCGAGUUGAAAACUAACCGGGAUCGAACACUUUCAAGAACAUAUUUUUGUUAAGAUAGAGAGGACAAAUCAAGGUAAACACUAGGAAGAACAUAUAUGC
rnacentral:lncRNA from 1 species